rnacentral:rRNA from 1 species
UCUUUGACCUUUUUAUAGGUUAAAGGAUAUAUGAGCAUUCCGCGUUUUUUCGCGGUAGCUUGAAAUAUAUGGUUAAUCUCAUCAAGUUGAGAUGUGUAAUAUUAAAUUAUUUCGCAAAACACUUGACGAGUUACCAAGUUUUCGAGUGUUUAACAAAGUUGAAUACGGACAAAACAAUAAAAUUUUGACAUUACCUCAAAUCAGGUAGGACUACCCGCUGAACUUAAGCAUAUCAAUAAGCGGAGGAAAAGAAACUAACAAGGAUUCCCUUAGUAACGGCGAGUGAAGUGGGAAGAGCUCAAAUUUUAAAUCUCCAAGGUUUCACCUUGGUGAGUUGUAAUUUGAAGAAAGUGUUUUGAUAUUCGGGUUUUACCUAAAUCCUUUGGGAUAGGGUAUCAUAGAGGGUGAGAAUCCCGUUCAUGGUUAAACCUCGGGUGUCACAUAAUUCACUUUCUAAGAGUCGAGUUGUUUGGGAUUGCAGCUCAAAAUGGGUGGUAAAUUUCACCUAAGGCUAAAUAUGUGCAAGAGACCGAUAGCGAACAAGUACCGUGAGGGAAAGAUGAAAAGAACUUUGAAAAGAGAGUUAAACAGUACGUGAAAUUGUUGAAAGGGAAACGAUUGAAGUCAGUCAUGCUAAUAGGGAAUCAACUCGUUGGUGUAUUAAUUCAUUAGUACACUUUCUAGUGUACUUCCUUAUUUGGCAGUUUAGCAUCAAUUUUGGUCAUCAUAAAAAAUUUGAGGGAAUGUGGCUUCCUUCGGGAAGUGUUAUAGACCUUAAUAUAUGUGGUGACCGGGAUUGAGGAUUGCAGCGAAUGCUUUUGGCUAGUUUACCCUCCUUCUGACGGUUACCCUGCUUCUGAUAGCAUGCUAACUUUGGUGGGACACGGCAGUCUUAAAGGGCGGAGUGAUCUAAAUUCGCUAAGGAUGCUGACGUAAUGG